ACACCGGCAGGGCUGUGGGUGGGUGGGGAGCCCACACCAUGCCCCCUGCUCCCCACCUCUAUUAAUCCCUUCCUGCCACUACACAGACUGAACCAGCUGGCGGCACAUUAAGGCCAGACCCAGCGGCGUGGGGCGCCCAGCCGGGUCCCAGCGGUGUGGGG